GAAUGCUGACAUAAGUAACGAUAAAGCGGGUGAAAAGCCCGCUCGCCGGAAGACCAAGGGUUCCUGUCCAACGUUAAUCGGGGCAGGGUGAGUCGACCCCUAAGGCGAGGCCGAAAGGCGUAGUCGAUGGGAAACAGGUUAAUAUUCCUGUACUUGGUGUUACUGCGAAGGGGGGACGGAGAAGGCUAUGUUGGCCGGGCGACGGUUGUCCCGGUUUAAGCGUGUAGGCUGAUUUUCCAGGCAAAUCCGGAGAAUCAAGGCUGAGGCGUGAUGACGAGGCACUACGGUGCUGAAGCAACAAAUGCCCUGCUUCCAGGAAAAGCCUCUAAGCAUCAGGUAACAUCAAAUCGUACCCCAAACCGACACAGGUGGUCAGGUAGAGAAUACCAAGGCGCUUGAGAGAACUCGGGUGAAGGAACUAGGCAAAAUGGUGCCGUAACUUCGGGAGAAGGCACGCUGAUAUGUAGGUGAAGCGACUUGCUCGUGGAGCUGAAAUCAGUCGAAGAUACCAGCUGGCUGCAACUGUUUAUUAAAAACACAGCACUGUGCAAACACGAAAGUGGACGUAUACGGUGUGACGCCUGCCCGGUGCCGGAAGGUUAAUUGAUGGGGUCAGCCGCAAGGCGAAGCUCUUGAUCGAAGCCCCGGUAAACGGCGGCCGUAACUAUAACGGUCCUAAGGUAGCGAAAUUCCUUGUCGGGUAAGUUCCGACCUGCACGAAUGGCGUAAUGAUGGCCAGGCUGUCUCCACCCGAGACUCAGUGAAAUUGAACUCGCUGUGAAGAUGCAGUGUACCCGCGGCAAGACGGAAAGACCCCGUGAACCUUUACUAUAGCUUGACACUGAACAUUGAGCCUUGAUGUGUAGGAUAGGUGGGAGGCUUUGAAGUGUGGACGCCAGUCUGCAUGGAGCCGACCUUGAAAUACCACCCUUUAAUGUUUGAUGUUCUAACGUGGACCCGUGAUCCGGGUUGCGGACAGUGUCUGGUGGGUAGUUUGACUGGGGCGGUCUCCUCCUAAAGAGUAACGGAGGAGCACGAAGGUUGGCUAAUCCUGGUCGGACAUCAGGAGGUUAGUGCAAUGGCAUAAGCCAGCUUGACUGCGAGCGUGACGGCGCGAGCAGGUGCGAAAGCAGGUCAUAGUGAUCCGGUGGUUCUGAAUGGAAGGGCCAUCGCUCAACGGAUAAAAGGUACUCCGGGGAUAACAGGCUGAUACCGCCCAAGAGUUCAUAUCGACGGCGGUGUUUGGCACCUCGAUGUCGGCUCAUCACAUCCUGGGGCUGAAGUAGGUCCCAAGGGUAUGGCUGUUCGCCAUUUAAAGUGGUACGCGAGCUGGGUUUAGAACGUCGUGAGACAGUUCGGUCCCUAUCUGCCGUGGGCGCUGGAGAACUGAGGGGGGCUGCUCCUAGUACGAGAGGACCGGAGUGGACGCAUCACUGGUGUUCGGGUUGUCAUGCCAAUGGCACUGCCCGGUAGCUAAAUGCGGAAGAGAUAAGUGCUGAAAGCAUCUAAGCACGAAACUUGCCCCGAGAUGAGUUCUCCCUGAGACUUUAAGUCUCCUGAAGGAACGUUGAAGACGACGACGUUGAUAGGCCGGGUGUGUAAGCGCAGCGAUGCGUUGAGCUAACCGGUACUAAUGAACCGUGAGGCUUAACCUU
rnacentral:rRNA from 1 species